rnacentral:rRNA from 1 species
GGAUUAGUGGCGACGGGUGAGUAACACGUGGGCAAUCUGCCCUUCACUCUGGGACAAGCCCUGGAAACGGGGUCUAAUACCGGAUAACACUCUGUCCCGCAUGGGACGGGGUUAAAAGCUCCGGCGGUGAAGGAUGAGCCCGCGGCCUAUCAGCUUGUUGGUGGGGUAAUGGCCUACCAAGGCGACGACGGGUAGCCGGCCUGAGAGGGCGACCGGCCACACUGGGACUGAGACACGGCCCAGACUCCUACGGGAGGCAGCAGUGGGGAAUAUUGCACAAUGGGCGAAAGCCUGAUGCAGCGACGCCGCGUGAGGGAUGACGGCCUUCGGGUUGUAAACCUCUUUCAGCAGGGAAGAAGCGAAAGUGACGGUACCUGCAGAAGAAGCGCCGGCUAACUACGUGCCAGCAGCCGCGGUAAUACGUAGGGCGCAAGCGUUGUCCGGAAUUAUUGGGCGUAAAGAGCUCGUAGGCGGCUUGUCACGUCGGAUGUGAAAGCCCGGGGCUUAACCCCGGGUCUGCAUUCGAUACGGGCUAGCUAGAGUGUGGUAGGGGAGAUCGGAAUUCCUGGUGUAGCGGUGAAAUGCGCAGAUAUCAGGAGGAACACCGGUGGCGAAGGCGGAUCUCUGGGCCAUUACUGACGCUGAGGAGCGAAAGCGUGGGGAGCGAACAGGAUUAGAUACCCUGGUAGUCCACGCCGUAAACGUUGGGAACUAGGUGUUGGCGACAUUCCACGUCGUCGUGCCGCAGCUAACGCAUUAAGUUCCCCGCCUGGGGAGUACGGCCGCAAGGCUAAACUCAAAGGAAUUGACGGGGGCCG